GGGGCUGUAGCUCAGUUGGUAGAGCGCUUCCUUAGCGUGUCCUCGGACAUCGUUUGGAUGAGGUCCAGCGUUCAAUUCGCUGCUGCUCCA